GUGGAAGGGCACGGGAGCCCUGGCGGCAGGGCUGAGAGGGCCAGCGGGCCGACCGUCUACACCUGAACUGGGUCAUGCCAGCGGAGGGAGCGAUCAGCGUGGGCGU
rnacentral:ncRNA from 1 species